rnacentral:lncRNA from 1 species
CUGGUACGGUGCUGUCACAAAUGCAGGGACCUGGUGGAUGAAGCAAAGGACUAUCACCUGAUGCCAGAGCGCCGGCCCCACCUGCCAGCUUUCAGGACUCGGCCUCGAUGCUGCACAUCCAUCGCUGGGCUCAUCUACGCUGUGGGGGGCCUCAACUCAGCAGGUAUCUUGCAACUCCCUUUUGCAGAGCCCUUCUUGAAACUCUGUGAAUGAAGAAGCACAGUCAAGCUAGCCUGGUUGUUCUGAUUCCUCCUCUUAUGCUGUUCUGUCUCCUGUCCUUAUCUUGAGGUAUUGGAGGGUAGCCCUAAAGUAGGGCUUACUAUGUAUUCAUAAUAUUGAAUGGGUGUUAGUGCUACAGGUGCCCUAAGGAAUUAAGCUCGACAGUCCAGGGAUGCUGACACAUGCCUGGAAUCCCAGCACUUGGGUCAUG